rnacentral:misc_RNA from 1 species
ACUAUACCCAUACCUAAGUAGCACGCGCUAGAUCAACAAAGACCCCCUAUAAUCCUCGAUUUGUAUAUUAGUUACUGCCAUUUAAGAGUUAAAUCAUGUGCACCGGCUCUCCCAGCAGCAAUGGAUCCCAGUCGGAGGAGAGCAGCACUCCAGAGCAGCAACAGCCGACGGAAUCGGACACUGACAGGCAGGGAGAACAGCUGCUUCGAACCCCCACGCGUGCAGUCGUGGCUGCUGCCACGGCGGAGGACAUUUUGGCCGAGUACGGGAGCAACCUGAAGCUGCUCGAGUGCAACCCACAGGUGGCCGAGCUGCUGACCAUCAUUCGCGACAAGAACACCACACGCAGCGACUUCAAGUUCUAUGCCGACCGGCUGAUCCGCCUGGUAAUCGAGGAGUCGCUCAACCAGCUGCCCUACACCCACUGCGACGUGGAGACUCCCACAGGUGCCAUCUACGAGGGCUUGAAGUACCGUUCCGGAAACUGCGGUGUGUCCAUCAUUCGCUCCGGAGAGGCCAUGGAGCAGGGUCUGCGCGACUGCUGCCGGUCCAUUCGCAUUGGCAAGAUCCUUGUCGAGUCCGAUGCCAAUACCCAUGAGGCGCGCGUUGUGUAUGCCCGUUUCCCGGACGACAUUGGUAGCAGGCAAGUCCUGCUAAUGUAUCCAAUUAUGUCGACCGGGAAUACGGUUCUGCAGGCUGUGAACGUACUGCGUGAACACGGAGUUCCCGAGAAUUGCAUAAUCCUGUCGAAUCUGUUCUGUACGCCGGUGGCUGCACGUACUGUUGUUCAAGCGUUCCCGAAGCUAAAGAUCCUAACCUCAGAGUUGCACCCGGUGGCUCCUAAUCACUUUGGACAGAAAUACUUCGGUACAGACUAGAUGAUAGGCAAUAUCGGCGCAAACUUGACGACUAAGCGCUGCUUAGGAUAGAUGGCAUUUGAAGCGACGUCCGGCGACGAUCUACCAAACUACUAUAGAAACUGUUAGCUUUUCACAAACUGGCUUUUAAUGCAACUCUCAAUUACGUUACGUUGGUUACCCACUAUUUGUAAAUAUAGAAAAUGAAUAAAUAUUUAAAA